CUAUAUGUAUCUUGGGAAGGCCCGUUUCCACUUUAAAAGUUUAAACCUCUAUUUCAAGAAAUAAAUGAUGUAAACCAUUAAAAAAUUCUUAAUAUAAUAUCUAUAGAUGGCGAAGAAAAUGUAGGCCCGAAACGCCCAAUUGGUUUCUCGGCGUUGGUUACUAUCGCUUUUUUCCAAUACUCAAGAAAUUAUAUGGUAUUGACGAAACCUAGAACAUAUGCUGCUGAGAUGAACGAAGAGUCUAGUAAAUAGAUGAUCUAAGAGAUCCCCAAAUGUUCAAAAUUCCUGAAAGAAAAAAAAACAUUCUGCCUUUGAAGAAGAAGAAUAUUGUACAUUUGUAUCAUACGACAAGGCCCCUGGAUAUAAAAAGACACAAUAGUGCAGACAUUUUCAAAUUAUUGAAUUUAGACUACUUAUCCUUCAAUUUAUAAUAAAUGAUAACACAGUACAAUUUCGGUUCC